UUGUUUUUUUUUUUUUUGCGAUUUCUGGACACGCGGGGACGUUGGGCCACUUUUAUUUUAUUUUAUUUUAUUUUUUCCCCGCAUUCCCACGCCGGGAAGGAAAAGCACGCGCGUCGUGGGGUGGCCCAGACGGAGGGGUAAAAGUCUUCAGCAGUUGAUUUCACCCUGUUACGUAGCUGAUGGUGAUAAGAGCCUUGUUCUGCCUUAAAAAAAACAAAACAGCUGAAGUUACUGGCUUGUCCUUUAAGGAAGUAGGGCAAAGCACAGAGGCCCGGUAUGGGAUAACUGAGAACUUAGACAUCAAUAUGUCUACUUUUAUGUGCUCCAGUUUAUCACCUUUACUACCCAGGGAAUGUGCAGGAGCCUUCAACACCACAGCUUAACUUCAAGAAUGGAUCGGUUCAGGUUUUUUCUCCUUCCAACUCAUGGUGUCAUCCUGAACAAAGCAUCAUCGACUCACACCGAGGAAAAGAUUUCGCCCAGGAAAUAGCUACAUUGUGGUUUCUUAGGCAACUACCUACAAAAUCAUUUUCAAAAGACAGAAGGCUGUUAUAGAAGGCAACACGUUGUACCGAAUUACUUCGUUGUUCUUCGUAUUUGUUUUGCUUCCCGUCAAAAACAUGUUCAUUUUUGGCACUUAAAAUUCCCUUUAAAAUACUUUAAAACUUUAGGAUUGGUUGAUCAUUGGAUGAAAAGUUGACCGGAAUUUCAGUGAAAUCAUCAAGACUGAGUGAUCCUGCAGGAACAAGAAUACAUCCUAAUCACAUUAACUUAAUUGGUGAGCAAUCCUGAAACAAAAAUGACCUAUAAUUUAAAACUAUUCCACCUGGACAUUUCUUAAACCUGUUCUGUUGAUUUUCUCCAAUAACAAUGCCAUGAAUAGGAAAUUCAUUCUAGAAUUCUACCACAUUUGCAAUUCAGAAGUUUAUCCUAAUCACCAUGCUAAAACAUUUGGCUACAACUUGGGCCUACUGUUUCUUUUCUGCAAAUGGUCACAUAUAUUAUUCAUAUACUAAGUCAGCCCAUCAGUUAUUUAAUUUUUUUUCUCAAUCUUUUCCAAACCGAACGGAUGGGUUCUUAGACUUACCUUAAAAAGGCAUUUGUUGUGGUUCAGGAGUACAUGUCACCAUGUAAUACUGCUCACCCUGGAGAUGUAUUCAUCUGCGUUGUUGACCUUUAUAUAAAACAAGUUAUGGCAGUCCAGUGGAAGAAGUUUCUUGUUAGUAGUUGGAAGGAGAGAUGCCACCGUUUUGGAGUAUGAAGAAUAAUAAUUUUAAACUCUGAAGAUAGCCGUCAGUUUUGGUCAUCUUGUAAACAAACUCACAACAAAGACAACCAGGAUUCUUUUUAAACCUCUUCUGCCAAAGUCAGAACUCCAAAAUGAAGAAAAAUGUGUAUUUUCUUCUCAGCUGCUUUAGGUUUGCCAGAAAAGAAUUCUACCAAAACCGUUGUUGCUAUUAUUACACAAUACCGUAGGAGUCAAAAGAGAGAAAGCUGCUAAUAAUAAGGGUAGGCGGGAAUUGUGCUGGGGUCAAACCCCAUUGCCAAUCCUGAUUUUAUAAAGACCAGGAUACCAGCUGAAGCUCUAUAAGAUGCUGGGUGAGAAGAUUUUAUGCUUUCUCUUGGUUUAGUAUCAUUGCUUUGUGUUCAAGGCUAAAUAGCUGGAAUUUUUCUCCUGUCAAGUCGAACACCGGAGGGUGUCAGCAUUUUAUGUAAGAUUCAGAUAAAAUUUGGUAUUUUGGGAAUUGCCAUCUGUGCUCUUUUUAUAUAAGGAAGGUUUGCUGCCAAGACUUGUGUACAAUCUUGUUAAGAUUCAGCCUUGGUGGGGGGGGGGAGGGAUUUGUUUGAAAAAUAAUGAUAUGGCUAUGUGAUUGUAAUAUCUUAAGUGAAUUGCAGUGCAAAGUUUGCUAUUAUUUGUAUCCGUCUCCUCUUUUAGCACCUUCAGCAUUGCUCCUAAAUAUUUUCGGAGAAUCUUAGAAACCCAUAGGAAAAGAGCUGAGCUGGGUUUAUACUGUAGUGCAGGUAGUCCUCAACUUACAACACUUUGUUUAGUGACUGUUCAAAGUUACAAUGGCACAGAAAAAAGGGACUUAAGCCCUUUUUCACGCUUAUCACCAUUGUGGCAUCCCCAAGGUCACGUGAUCAAAAUUCCUGAUGCUUGGCAACUUAUAUUUAUGAUGGUUGCAGUGUCCCUGGGAUCAUGUGAUCACCUUUUACAACCUUCUGACAAAAUCAUUGGGAAAGCCAGAUUCACUUAAUAACCGUGUUACAGCCUUGACAACUGCAGUGAUUCACUUAACAACUGUGGCAAGAAACAGUGUAAAAUGGGGCAUAAUUCACUUGACAAUUGUCUCGCUUGGCAACAGAAAGUUUGGGCUCCAUUGUAAGGAAGUCCGUAAGUCAAGGGCUACCUAUAUAGCAAAACCCAAAACCUAAAAAAAGAAUAUACUGGUGAUUUGUACCUUAUUUUUCCUUGUUGUCUGUUGAAGGACAAGGAACUCUUACUUGUUCUUACCUGGAUAUUAUUUGCUUCAGAGGCUCUUACCUGCAUGCCCUGAAUUUCAGAGAUGGGGUGAAAGAUCUUUUUAUGGUUUAAAGGUAAAGGUUCCCCUCGUUUCUAACUC